rnacentral:rRNA from 1 species
AUUGAACGCUGGCGGCAGGCCUAACACAUGCGAGUCGAGCGGAUGAAGGGAGCUUGCUCCUGGAUUCAGCGGCGGACGGGUGAGUAAUGCCUAGGAAUCUGCCUGGUAGUGGGGGAUAACGUCCGGAAACGGGCGCUAAUACCGCAUACGUCCUGAGGGAGAAAGUGGGGGAUCUUCGGACCUCACGCUAUCAGAUGAGCCUAGGUCGGAUUAGCUAGUUGGUGGGGUAAAGGCCUACCAAGGCGACGAUCCGUAACUGGUCUGAGAGGAUGAUCAGUCACACUGGAACUGAGACACGGUCCAGACUCCUACGGGAGGCAGCAGUGGGGAAUAUUGGACAAUGGGCGAAAGCCUGAUCCAGCCAUGCCGCGUGUGUGAAGAAGGUCUUCGGAUUGUAAAGCACUUUAAGUUGGGAGGUAGGGCAGUAAGUUAAUACCUUGCUGUUUUGACGUUACCAACAGAAUAAGCACCGGCUAACUUCGUG